UGGGCUCAGGAUGAACGCUGGCGGCGUGCUUAACACAUGCAAGUCGAACGAUGAUCCCAGCUUGCUGGGGGAUUAGUGGCGAACGGGUGAGUAACACGUGAGUAACCUGCCCUUGACUCUGGGAUAAGCCUGGGAAACUGGGUCUAAUACCGGAUACGACCAUCUGGCGCAUGUCAUGGUGGUGGAAAGCUUUUGUGGUUUUGGAUGGACUCGCGGCCUAUCAGCUUGUUGGUGGGGUAAUGGCCUACCAAGGCGACGACGGGUAGCCGGCCUGAGAGGGUGACCGGCCACACUGGGACUGAGACACGGCCCAGACUCCUACGGGAGGCAGCAGUGGGGAAUAUUGCACAAUGGGCGCAAGCCUGAUGCAGCGACGCCGCGUGAGGGAUGACGGCCUUCGGGUUGUAAACCUCUUUCAGUAGGGAAGAAGCGAAAGUGACGGUACCUGCAGAAGAAGCGCCGGCUAACUACGUGCCAGCAGCCGCGGUAAUACGUAGGGCGCAAGCGUUAUCCGGAAUUAUUGGGCGUAAAGAGCUCGUAGGCGGUUUGUCGCGUCUGCUGUGAAAGACCGGGGCUCAACUCCGGUUCUGCAGUGGGUACGGGCAGACUAGAGUGCAGUAGGGGAGACUGGAAUUCCUGGUGUAGCGGUGAAAUGCGCAGAUAUCAGGAGGAACACCGAUGGCGAAGGCAGGUCUCUGGGCUGUAACUGACGCUGAGGAGCGAAAGCAUGGGGAGCGAACAGGAUUAGAUACCCUGGUAGUCCAUGCCGUAAACGUUGGGCACUAGGUGUGGGGGACAUUCCACGUUUUCCGCGCCGUAGCUAACGCAUUAAGUGCCCCGCCUGGGGAGUACGGCCGCAAGGCUAAAACUCAAAGGAAUUGACGGGGGCCCGCACAAGCGGCGGAGCAUGCGGAUAA
rnacentral:rRNA from 1 species